rnacentral:rRNA from 1 species
GACGAACGCUGGCGGCGUGCUUAACACAUGCAAGUCGAACGGAAAGGCCCUGCUUUUGUGGGGUGCUCGAGUGGCGAACGGGUGAGUAACACGUGAGUAACCUGCCCUUGACUUUGGGAUAACUUCAGGAAACUGGGGCUAAUACCGGAUAGGAGCUCCUGCUGCAUGGUGGGGGUUGGAAAGUUUCGGCGGUUGGGGAUGGACUCGCGGCUUAUCAGCUUGUUGGUGGGGUAGUGGCUUACCAAGGCUUUGACGGGUAGCCGGCCUGAGAGGGUGACCGGCCACAUUGGGACUGAGAUACGGCCCAGACUCCUACGGGAGGCAGCAGGGGGGAAUAUGGCACAAUGGGCGGAAGCCUGAUGCAGCAACGCCGCGUGCGGGAUGACGGCCUUCGGGUUGUAAACCGCUUUCGCCUGUGACGAAGCGGGAGUGACGGUAAUGGGUAAAGAAGCACCGGCUAACUACGUG